UUAACGGGAGGGAUUGUACCUGAUAUUCAUAUGAUGAAGACAUAAUCUUUCAAUCAGUUUUUAUUGAGGUCUGGAGCUGGCAUGUCAGUUAACUGCUAGUAGUCUGUUGUUAUUUAUGUAUUAUUGUCAUUUUAUUUAUUUUCUUUUGUUACAUCUUUUGACAUCAGACUCGGACUUCUCUUGAACUGAAUUUUAAUGUGCGUAUUGUUAUUCUUUUACUUUUCUUCAUUGGCUAGAGGUAUAGGGGGAGGGUUGAGAUCUCAUAAACAUGUUUAACCCCGCCGCAAUUUUGCGCCUGUCCCAAGUCAGGAGCCUCUGGCCUUUGUUAGUCUUGUAUGAUUUUAAAUUUUAGUUUCUUGUGUAUAAUUCGGAGUUUAGUAUGACGUCCAUUAUCACUGUACUAUUAUGCAUAUUUUAGGGGCC
rnacentral:lncRNA from 1 species